rnacentral:lncRNA from 1 species
GUCAGAGAGUGGUGGAGCCAUGCGAAAUCCAUUGUAAAGAGUGGAGUGGUAUAGUGGCCAUUGUUGUGACUUGCCAGAGAGUUCAGAUCUGUCGGUGGGAGCUCGACUGGGAUGUCUGACGGAGCAGAAUGGCUCUCUAUCUCGUCGGUCUAGGAGAAGCUCGGAUGUUUCCAAGGUUGUGAUGGGUCUACUGUUGUUAGGUGCCU